AUUGAACGCUGGCGGCAGGCUUAACACAUGCAAGUCGAGCGAGCGGCGGACGGGUGAGUAAUGUCUGGGAACCUGCCUGAUGGAGGGGGAUAACUACUGGAAACAGUGGCUAAUACCGCAUACCAUCAGAUGUGCCCAGAUGGGAUUAGCUAGUAGGUGGGGUAAUGGCUCACCUAGGCGACGAUCCCUAGCUGGUCUGAGAGGAUGACCAGCCACACUGGGACUGAGACACGGUCCAGACUCCUACGGGAGGCAGCAGUGGGGAAUAUUGGACAAUGGGCGCAAGCCUGAUGCAGCCAUGCCGCGUGUGUGAAGAAGGCCUUCGGGUUGUAAAGCACUUUUAGCGGGGAGGCGGUACUCGCAGAAGAAGCACCGGCUAACUCCGUGCCAGCAGCCGCGGUAAUAC
rnacentral:rRNA from 1 species